GAGAAAGUCAUAAAGGUUACGGGGUUGACUUGAAAUUAAUCUGAGGGGGUUCAAUUCCUCCCUUUCUUA
rnacentral:tRNA from 1 species